rnacentral:rRNA from 1 species
AUUGAACGCUGGCGGCAGGCCUAACACAUGCAAGUCGAGCGGAUGAGUGGAGCUUGCUCCAUGAUUCAGCGGCGGACGGGUGAGUAAUGCCUAGGGAUCUGCCUGGUAGUGGGGGACAACGUUUCGUAAGGAACGCUACUACCGCAUACGUCCUACGGGAGAAAGUGGGGGAUCUUCGGACCUCACGCUAUCAGAUGAGCCUAGGUCGGAGUAGCUAGUUGGUGAGGUAAAGGCUCACCAAGGCGACGAUCCGUAACUGGUCUGAGAGGAUGCUCAGUCACACGGGAACGGAGACACGGUCCACACUCCUACGGGAGUAAGCAGAGGGGAAUAUUGGACAAGGGGCGACAGCCUGACCCCGCCCAGCCGCGUGUGUGAAGAAGGUCUUCGGAUUGUAAAGCACUUUAAGUUGGGAGGAAGGGCAGUGAGUUAAUACCUUGCUGUUUUGACGUUACCAACAGAAUAAGCACCGGCUAACUUCGUGGCAGCCGCCGCAGUAAGAC